GAGGAACGAUCGCCGACGGAGCACUUCCGGGAAUCAGUUGUUGGCCUUGCUAGUUUGUUAGCCGCUAUCUUAAGCAGGAACGAAAGCGCUCCCGCACAACUUAGACCGAGACACGCAUGUUCGACAUUAGGGACAUUCUACAUUUGAUCUACAGAAACUGCAGGAACGAUAACCAAGAGGACAACAAAGGACAUGUGUGUUUUACUUGACAGCACUGUGCGUGGCUUUGCUUGAGAGAUGCAGAAUGGGAAAGGAGCUCUAUCUGCAGAGAAUUUGGAGGUGGAAGAGGUGUCUGCAUCCUGGCCUGGCCAAGUGUGGUGACACAUUGGUGACAUACAUGGGACUUAUUUUUGGAAUGAGCUGAUUCUGUACCCAUAUUGAUGUAAAGACUGAAGCAGGGGAUCACAACAUUAUAGGGGAGAUUUACUUGGCUAACUAAACUUUUUGUGCAAAAGGUUAGCCUUAAUACUUCUUGUGUAGCGGCAACAUUUUUUUAAAGUAAAUUCUGGCAGGAAUUUUGUUUCAUGAGCUGCUUUUAGCCACUGGUGUAAAAGUGAUUUUGUGAUUUUUGUUUGUUUCGGUGUUCUCCCCUGCUGACUGUAUUUGAAACGCUGGAACAGUUCUUGUUGCAAUCCUAAGUCUCUUGCACCCAGUGCCUAAACAAGCCCUCUUGGGACAAUCAUAGAAGUCAUCUAUCUGCUGCCGCUGUCUUCAAUCCUUUUCCUGUUCAACUCUAGUGCUUCUGGUCUUGAUAGUUAUCUAGCCACUACCUCUUUUUUUUCUCUUUUUUUCAUUUAAUGGUCAUUUUGUCAGAGACCUUUAUUCUGAACUGACACACACAGAGUUUGAAAAGUAAAAGAAACUUUAGUUUGAAAUGAUUUUAGCCAUUUGCAUCUGUACUUUUGCAGAUUUGCAAAUUAUGUAAAAGUUGCACUGGUGCCACAUAGUAGUUUAAGUUUAGUUUAAUUUUUGCACCAAAUAUUUACAUUAAAGCCAUGUUGAAAUAUUUACAAAUUUCACACAAUCACUUAUUUUUGUAUCAUAGUGUUCUUGCAUCAUUUUACUUUAGGGCUUCUAUUAAAAUUAUGCACAAGUGAUCAGAUAUUUACACCAAUCUGUACACAUGAAAGUAGAGCUGUAUUUAAAAAGUUUAUAGAUACAUAUAUUUUUUUCAGUGACUAUAUGAGCAUUGUGAGAUAAACAGUAUAUACAAAGAGAAUCCACCAUUCUCUGAUCUACGGCAGUUGCUGCUUUGUGUAGAAUUGAUUUUUCUUUUUCAGACUGCUGCCAUGGACUCUCCUCUCAAACAAAGGCCAUAUUCACCUUUUUGACUUGGACAGCACAUUUGCAGUAGGUAGAGUGUAGAUUUCUACCUCUCUGUCUUCCUUCCAUCUCGCACUCUGAUGCCGGGCUUCAGUGGUGGGGGGGUUGGGGGAGGAGCGGGUGGCCCAGCUUCUGCUCCUCCCCGCGCAUUUCGUCCCAACCGUUAUGUGCCUGUUGCUGCAGCCACAACUUUCCUUGUUGGAUCAACCACCCUCUUCUUCUGCUUCACGUGUCCAUGGUUGUCAGAGUAUUUAUCGUCUGUCAUUCCCAUCUACAUUACUGUGAUCUUUCUCUUCACCCUUGCCAACUUUUGUAUGGCCACGUUCAUGGACCCAGGAGUCUUCCCCAGAGCGGAGGAGGAUGAGGAUAAAGAGGAUGAUUUCCGUGCUCCUCUUUAUAAGACUGUGGAGAUCAAAGGCAUCCAGGUGCGCAUGAAAUGGUGCUCAACCUGCCGCUUCUACCGGCCACCGCGCUGUUCACACUGCUCAGUCUGCGACAACUGUGUGGAGGAUUUUGACCACCAUUGUCCUUGGGUGAACAACUGCAUUGGACGGAGAAAUUAUCGCUAUUUCUUCCUCUUCCUGCUGUCGCUCACCACCCACAUUGUGAAUGUGUUUGGCUUUGGCUUGGUUUAUGUACUGCACCACCGCCAACAGCUGGACACCCCACAUUCUGCUGUUACUAUGGCUGUGAUGUGUGUAGCUGGUCUGUUCUUUGUCCCAGUAGCUGGUCUAACUGGGUUCCACAUUGUACUGGUGGCCCGCGGAAGGACCACAAAUGAACAGGUGACAGGGAAGUUUCGGGGUGGCGUUAACCCUUUCACCAACGGCUGCUGGAGGAAUAUUACACGUGUGCUGUGUAGCUCACAGGCACCUAGAUACAUGGGCCGGUGGCGGAGACCGCAGGCAAUGGAAGUACAGCCACCGUUUCUUAGGCCGCCUCUCACCGAGUCACAACUCGAAGCCAAAGUCCUGGACAACGGCAUCCAGAAUGACCGACACAGCAUCAGAUCAAAGAGCAGUUUAGAUCAGAUGGAGAGCCAGUCAGCAGAUGCAGAGCCUCCACCUCCCCCUAAACUGGAACUUCGCUACCCUGGCUUUCCUCGUGCUGACACGGAGGAGAGCGGCUUGUUGACUGAAGCUCCUCCCACUCCAUCAAUGUACAAGUAUCGACCGACCUACAGCAGUCCAGGAAGGAAUCACACUGGCGUCGCACAUCCUAACAAGGUGCAUAUGAUCCGCGGAGAGAGCCUUGACUCUCCAUCACCCUCCAUUCUCCAGUCCAGCCGACAGCAUAGCUACCGCUCCGAGCCCAGCAGCCUGGAUGGGGCUACCAUGGUGGGGGGAGGUGUAGGGGUGCGCAGAGGGGGAGGGGAGAGGGGUGAGGGCCCUGGAGGCCCUGGUGGGACUGCUGGUUUACUCUCGGGGGGCAUGUCGGGAUAUUCCCUAUCUGGGCGCUCCUAUACCUCCUACCCCUCCUCCCUGGUUCUGUCCACUGGUGGGUCCCACUCCUCCAGCAUGCGCUCUGCGCACACAGCACAUAACCCGCUGGCCACGCUUCAAUCAGAAGGCACAACAGACACCAGUUACAAAAGCCUAGCCAAUCAGACCCCUCAAAACGGCAGCCUGUCUUACGACAGUCUGUUGACGCCAUCUGAGAGCCCAGACUUUGAGUCAGCCACUCAUGAGCUGUCGCCACAGAAGCCUCGCGUUCCGUUUCCCUCAGGGACGGCAUUGCCUCUGAGAGGUCAGCCUGAGGCGCUCUCGCCCACUGCCCCCCUGCAGGGCUACACGUCACCCUUCCUCUCAGCUCAAAUCGCUCAGCAGAGGGAGGGGAAGCUGCUUCAGGGCUCUACCACUUUCUCCUCCCCCCAUAGGGCAUACCUGCGUGCGGUCAGUCCACCUUCCUCCCCCCCUGGGCUUCCUGAGACUCAUCACUUGUUCCAGCAAAAGCAGGACUCUUCUUCCCGAGCCCCUCGUGCCCUUUCCUCAUCAUCCUGUUCCCCCAGGGCUCAUUUACCAGAGCCCCCUGUCUCCCCGCCACCUCGUGGCCUCUCGCUCGGGAAAUUCCAAACUUUGACCGGGGAGGCAGGGUCCCAGCACAAGCUUCGAGCCACAGGGGUUGGUACUGUGCUGGGAGGGGGAGAAGCUGGAGGAGGGCAACAGGCUCCACAGUGAGUAGUGAUCGGUCUCCAGGUCCGUCAGCCUGCUCCUUCUUCUUUUCCUGUUAAUCCUCCUCUUCCUGAUUUGUAUCCAACGCUCGCCCCAUCUUCGCCAAUAACAGUACAUCCAAACCAGGGGGCGGUGUGAAGAAGGUGACAGGUGUUGGAGGGACCACUUAUGAGAUAUCUGUUUGAGUGUGUCAGACAACCUUCAUGGACUUUGACUGGGAAAGUUAAUGAUGAAAUCACUGGAGGACUUCCACUUGUCUCCUAAGCUGGUAAUCAUUCAUGUCUCUGUGCUCCUGGACGAUGACUUCUCUGAUGACUCCUCUGCUGCACCAAACCGUUGGAACAGGACUGUCUGGUACUCACUUUAUCAUCAUGAUUCAAUUGGUCAUUCUUCUGCCAGCCUUUUAAGUCUCAAAGACUAACUGGGGACACUGGUUCACUGUUUCACAGGAUCAUUUUUUUUUUUUAUCUCCAUUUACCUACUUUUGGAAGCCAUAGGCCGACAACAGCCGGGUACAGAAAUGUUUAUAGUGUGCGUAAUGGUUUGCUGUUUGACUUUGGUAUAUGAGCACACACGGUAUUGACAGUGGUGUCCAGCGGUUAAAGAAUGGACGGCAUUUUAUCCAGUGGGCGUGAUGCUUCAAACGUUCCAGGACUGUUGAUCAGUGGAGAAAUGUCACUCUUCUGCUUGUACCAUAGAGACUGUAUCAGUUAAGAGAAUGGGGAACUGUCACAGACACAGUAUCAUUUUACUUUUAUAAACAUUUUUUUAAAUAUUGUUUUAUAUAAAUGUAUAAGAUCUUACAGAUUUGGUCAAACUGUCAGGUAUUGUAGGUGACCUUGGGUAAGGGUGGCAGAUGUACUGUGUAUAUUUUUCAUGGAACUUAUUCCAAGUCAGUUGCUUGUUUAUAAUUGAUGGCUGCAUCAGCCACUCUCAAGCUCUCACUGGGAUCAGCGUCCAGGGAGAGUGAUGACUCUUCGGGUGUGGGAGGUGGUGGAAGAAUUGAGCUAAAGUGUGAAAGCCACAAAGAAUUAAAAAAAAAAACAUGGUUACAACACAAGCAUCUUUGUGGAAUGAACGCUUUUAAUGCUUAAGCUCGACAUUAUGCAAAAUCUGUUCAUAGCUUUAAGCUCAUUGGAUAUCAUUUUGAUUAUUUCGUUUUUCUUUUAUAUUUUGUCAGUCUAGAAGCUAGCAGCACCUUUAACGGAUGGCCAGCCAAAAAAGAAAAAACAAGGGGGGUGGGGGGCAGCAACAGAAGGGCUUAUUUAUUUCCAGCAGACAACACAACCUUGUAGUUCUGGACAUAUCAAAGCAGUCUGUACCAGUCACUCCAUUAAAAUAUGGUCAGGCUUAAUUUCGAGAACAAGCAGAUGGAUAUUUUUUGAGAAAUACUCACAAAUGAAAGUUCAGAUGCUGUAUCAUACCACUAAACAUAUAUUUAAUUAGAGAGUGGUUUACAAACAGAUUGGUUUUUGCCUUGAGACGGUUAUAUUUUUUGUUAAUUCUAAUGAAUUACUUAAAGAAUUUCAUAGGCACACUUUUUAAAAUAUAUAUACAUAUAUAAAUAUGUCUUUAAAGGUAUAGUUGACAUUCACAGCCAUGUUGCGAAAGAAACUGUUCAGAGAAAGGGAGGUGUGUAUGCGUGUGUUAUAAGGAUUGGGGAUUACCCCAAAUCUCCACAGCAAUUUCAAGAAUAGAUUGUUAAAGAUGGCUGAAUGUAGUGCACGUUAGGGUAAAAAAAAUACAAUAAAAAGUGCAUAGCACACCAAUGAA